UACGUAGGGUGCGAGCGUUAAUCGGAAUUACUGGGCGUAAAGCGUGCGCAGGCGGUUUUGUAAGCCAGAUGUGAAAUCCCCGGGCUUAACCUGGGAAUGGCAUUUGGGACUGCAAGGCUGGAGUGUGGCAGAGGAGACUGGAAUUCCUGGUGUAGCAGUGAAAUGCGUAGAUAUCAGGAGGAAUACCGAUGGCGAAGGCGGUGGUCUGGGCCUGAACUGACGCUGAGGAGCGAAAGCCAGGGGAGCAAACGGG
rnacentral:rRNA from 1 species